UACGUAGGUGGCAAGCGUUGUCCGGAUUCACUGGGCGUAAAGCGCGCGCAGGCGGUCUUCUACGUCUGGGGUGAAAACCCGGGGCUCAACCCCGGGACUGCCUUGGAUACGGGAAGACUCGAGGAUCGGAGAGGCAAGGGGAAUUCCACGUGUAGCGGUGAAAUGCGUAGAGAUGUGGAGGAACACCUGUGGCGAAGGCGCCUUGCUGGCCGAUUUCUGACGCUGAGGCGCGAAAGCGUGGGGAGCAAACAGG
rnacentral:rRNA from 1 species